AUGGAAGGGAAGGAUUCUACUAGUGAGGAAGUAGUCAAGCCUUAUACUCGGACUACACUGGAUUUUGAUAUUGGAUACUUUGAGCUUGUUUUAAAGUUGAUAAUUUUGAAGCACCUCAAUGAGUCUUUUUACUUUGCUGGUCGUCAGUAUACUAUAGCAUGUUCAGUAGUUGCAGGCAACAGACUAUAUGGCAAUCAAACUGUUAGGUACAACUCUCUGUACAAGGGGUUUCGUGGUGACCCGAAGCGGCACACACCUACAUGCUGGUGUGCUGAGAAGAUCAAGCGCGCUAAGAAGAUCAAGCAGGCAGAGAAAAAAGUCCGUGGUUCUAGAUUCUCAGGCAAGGCAGAGAAGACUCAUGGUAGGCAGGGUGUGCUUGUCCGUACAAAAAACAUCGCACAUUUAAUGGCAGCUCAUCAUGUAGUAAAAACAUCAUACGUUGAAGACAUGUGGGAGGUUGAAGAUGAUGUUCGAUGA
rnacentral:rRNA from 1 species